rnacentral:ncRNA from 11 species
UGUUUCGCUGCAAGCGAUGGUGUCGUUGGACUUAAAAGGGAAUCCGGUGAAAUUCCGGAGCUGUCCCCGCAACUGUAAGUGAGACGAACGGGAAUACCACUGUAUCAGUUUGCUGUUCGGUGCUGAUAUGGGAAGGUCCCUAGUAGGAUGACCACAAGCCAGGAGACCUGCCAUCCUUGUCAAGUUUCAA